rnacentral:snRNA from 15 species
AGACGUUACCUGGCGCCAGGUUCAGGGUGAUCAAGAGUGCUAUGACCCCGGGUGGAGACUCACCAAUACACAUCGGUGGGUUGAAGCUCGCGACGGACUCUUAUCGGGUGCACUCGGGCAUGUAGUUUCUGUCAGUGGGGAGGCCUUACCGUCCUCCCUU